GACGAACGCUGGCGACGUGCCUAAUGCAUGCAAGUCGCGCGGUGGUCUUCGGACCGCAGCGGCGCACGGCUGAGGAACACGUACGUACCAACCCACCAGUGGGGGACAACGAUGGGAAACCAUCGCUAAUCCCGCAUACCAUCGCAAGAUGAAAGUCGCAAGACGCUGGUGGCUGGGCGUGCGCCCCAUCAGGUUGUUGGCGGGUAACGGCCCACCAAGCCUUUGACGGGUCGCUGGUCUGAGAGGAUGACCAGCCAGACUGGGACUGAGACACGGCCCAGACUCCUACGGGAGGCAGCAGCAAGGAAUUUUCGGCAAUGGGCGCAAGCCUGACCGAGCAACGCCGCGUGCGGGAUGAC
rnacentral:rRNA from 1 species